AUGGAUGCGCCACACCCCAGUGACCCUCCCUGGCUCGCAGCCCGUCCUUUUCCCCUACCGGAACCCCUACUUCCCCGGCGACCAAAGCUCCCUCUCCGCCGCGGGUCCUGCUGCUCCCGCUGCAGCGCUCGCCAGCGGCAGAGACCUUCACCCGGAGAUGCGUCUCUCUCCACUGAUCACGUGGGUAGGUUCUACACCCCCAGCCAUGGUCGAGAACGCCGGCAAUCACCGUCGAGGCAAGCCACUCCCUCGGCCAGGCGCGCGUCGGAGCGGGAGGUUGAAGGCGGUCAGGCCAGGCGGGCCCCUCCCCAAGCGACCCCACCAGUCGGCGACUGGGAGAUGCCACGUCAGCCCCCGCCGACCGAACCGGUUAUUUUGUGA
rnacentral:rRNA from 1 species